rnacentral:rRNA from 1 species
UACAGAGGUCCCGAGCGUUGUUCGGAUUCACUGGGCGUAAAGGGUGCGUAGGUGGUGAGGCAAGUCGGAUGUGAAAGCUCCGGGCUCAACCCGGAAAUGGCAUUGGAAACUGCCUUGCUGGAGGUUUGGAGGGGGGACUGGAAUUCUCGGUGUAGCAGUGAAAUGCGUAGAUAUCGAGAGGAACACCAGUGGCGAAGGCGGGUCCCUGGACAACACCUGACACUGAGGCACGAAAGCUAGGGGAGCAAACAGG